CCUACGGGAGGCAGCAGUGAGGAAUAUUGGUCAAUGGGCGGGAGCCUGAACCAGCCAAGCCGCGUGAGGGAAGAAGGUACAGCGUAUCGUAAACCUCUUUUGUCAGGGAACAAAGGCGGGUACUCGUCCCCGUAUGAGGGUACCUGACGAAAAAGCAUCGGCUAACUCCGUGCCAGCAGCCGCGGUAAUACGGAGGAUGCGAGCGUUAUCCGGAUUUAUUGGGUUUAAAGGGUGCGCAGGCGGCCUGUUAAGUCAGCGGUAAAAGCCCGGGGCUCAACCCCGGCGAGCCGUUGAAACUGGCGGGCGGGAGUGGGAGAGAGGUAGGCGGAAGGCGCGGUGUAGCGGGGAAAGGCUUAGAUAUCGCGCAGAACCCCGAUUGCGAAGGCAGCGUACCGGCUCCACACUGACGCUGAGGCACGAAAGCGUGGGUAUCGAACAGGAUUAGAUACCCUUGUAGUC
rnacentral:rRNA from 1 species